CUUGACCCCAGACCUUCAGCCUGUCAUAUUUUGGCUCCUCCUUAGUGAAGGUUGUUGAGGGUGUUUUGCAGAGAGACAUGACGCCAAUCUUAAUUUUUGACAAUUUUCCAUAGCAUGCAGAUAAUUUGUUUCCAAAACUUUUCAUUUUCCUGAAGUCAUCUUGAUUGGUAUCAGCUAUUUCCAUAAAACGAUCGGAUGAGUUUUGAUGGACAGAUCAGGCUUUUGUUUACAACUGUUUUGCUCCUAAUCAUUCCACCACAUCACAUGUCAUGGACCUGAAUUGCGUCAAGAAGACGGGCUUGUCUGUCAGGCCCUGGUGGGCACUUUGAUAGCGGGCAUGCUGUGCCAUGACACGUGUGGUGUUGGGUCUUGCUGGACAAGCUGUGCUGUGUUCAGUGUGCGGAGCCUCUGCUAGAUGCUCUCAUUUGGGGCACUGGGCCAGUGCUACUGGGAGCACUUCUGUUUUGUGUCACUGACAUCCAAUAGCAUCGUUAUGUAGAGCAAACACCGAAGGGCUGCAUUUCUUUGUGGGCUUAUUCUCGAGAAAACUGGGGGCAGAUCCCUCCUCAAGGAGGGGAGGGCCACCUUGGUUUCCAGUCAAGUAUUGUGAAAAUUAUCCAACACUCAGGCAAUCCACCCAACCCUGCUGCCCAUGUCUGGAGAAGCAAAGUGUCAGGGGUAGUCCAGGCCCACCUGGAGACAGGUCAGGCCCUGCAGAGAAAGGUCUGACAGACGGGGGUGAGGGAAGACCCCCCAAAGGCCUCCAGAGUCCCACCAGGUCUCCAGGUCCUUGUCAUAACCAGAGAGGCCCCAGCCCCAGAGGACCAGGUCCCCUGCUCCACUGUCCACAGGGGCCCACCUGCAAGCACACUGGCAGAGCUCAAGACCACACAUGCCUGCAAGGUGAGGCCUGUCUGGGCUCUGUCCUCCUGCAGGCCCCAGGCCUGGGUGGCUGGGCGAAGGCAGCUGCUUAUGCAGACUCCAGGGGGAAAGCCGCCUCUCAUCUCUGGCCGUCCCCAGGACGCUGGAUCCACCAAUAUCUCACCAACCUGGAGAGCCACUCAACCCCUCAUUUCACAUGUUUGAACAUAGAGGACCAGAGGGGUGUGGCCUGUCUAGGAGGUCUUAGGAGCUCGGGUCCUGACUCUGCCACUUACCAACUCUUGUGUGUCCCAUGUGCCUCCGCUUCCCCUCGGGACACAGAGAUAUUGUGAAAGUUAAACAACAUAAUCCCCGUAAAACACUUCGAGCAGUGCCUGGUAUCUGGCCAGCAAGUGAUCAAUGGUGAUCCAUUACCAUCCUGGGACCCCAUCAGAGCCUUCUGAGGUGGAGGGAAGGGCGUGCUGGGGAGCACAGGUGCAGGUCACAAGAAGGAAGUCAGUCCCAUAAGCCAGGUAUCUAACCCCAUCCCUGCUCCCCCAAGGUAAGGGCCAGCAUCUAACCCCACCCCUGCUCCCCCAAGGUAAGGGCCAG
rnacentral:lncRNA from 1 species